rnacentral:misc_RNA from 1 species
UGUUAAAUGAUAUUCAACAAAAAUAAAACUAAAACCUAUGAGAAGAAAGAGAAUAAAAUGAAAAUCAAGAACUCAUGAUGUAUAGAAAUAAACACUGUGGGCAAGUUAAUAUGGGGAUAGGCAAAAAUACCAAAAGAAAGAGUAAGUUCAAUUGAGAAUUUUUUUCGAUAUGCAUCAUCUAUUUGGGUUUUUACCAGAUCCAAAUGUUUGUAUGUUCAUUUUCUUCAGUAAAUUUUUUGAUUCAUGUUUUGAUUGUAAUUUGCUAAUGUUGUUGCAACUUGCCUGUAAAAGACAUGUUAAGACUUUCAUUUUCGAAGGUUUUUGUUUUGUAUAGAAACUCAUUCUUUUCUAGUUUCUAAAUUAUCCUAAUGACAAACUGUCAAUAUUUAAUGUGUGGGAACAUCUUUUAUAACAAAUUAAAAGCAAUGAUAAUGGAAGGAAGCAUGUUAUUUAUUGCAGUUGAUGUUUUUGUGCAGCCAAGUCA